rnacentral:tRNA from 1 species
GAUAUAAUGCCUGAAUAAAGGAUAACAUUGAUAGUGUUAAUCAUAUAGUUAAAUACUAUUUAUAUCC